GUAUCUAAAAGGGUUGGUAUAGCCAAUUUUAUAAAGACAAUUUAAUGGCCGCGGUAACACUGACCGUGAUAAUGUAGCGCAAUCAAUAGUCAAUUAAUUGUUGGCCGGUAUGAAUGGUGUCACAAGGGUCUCACUGUCUUAAGGGAAUUUCCAAUGAAAUUGAAUUUGUAGUGAAGAUGCUACAUCCAAAUUGUUAGACAAGAAGUCCCCAUGGAACUUUACUGGAAACUUAUGUGGCUUAAAUUAAUUUAUUUCUUACAAAUAAAUAGUUUAAAAAUGUGGUGUUAACUUUUCGGAUUAACUAGGGUUAAAAAAGCCCACUCUUUUAUUUUAAGAAAGCCAACUCAAAAAAGUAUGUCUUUGAGAUUGGAUAAGUGGGACAGUUUGGUUGGGGCGACCGCCUUUAAAAAAGUAACGAAGGCGGACUUAAGAUACAUAUUUAGUUGUGUCUGACUGCCAAGGGGAGAUCCUGAGCAGACACUUAUCUUUGGGUUAGUCUGCAGAGGAAUCUAAAGAGUAGCCCUUAGGUUUAUUUUUUAGGUGGGUUUAAGUGACCCGUUAAUUUAGGGUGAAAUAGUUAACGAUAAACAAAUAAAAGUUACCUUGGGGAU
rnacentral:rRNA from 1 species